rnacentral:rRNA from 1 species
CGCGUAGGCGGCUGUAUAAGUCAGAUGUGAAAGCCCGCGGCUCAACCGUGGAAGUGCAUUUGAAACUGUAUGGCUUGAGUACUGGAGGGGGUAGUGGAAUUCCCGGUGUAGAGGUGAAAUUCGUAGAUAUCGGGAGGAAUACCGGUGGCGAAGGCGACUGCCUGGCCAGAUACUGACGCUGAGGUGCGAAAGGCGUGGGGAGCAAACA